rnacentral:misc_RNA from 1 species
AAGAAAACUUUGCUCAUUUUCAUUCACUCCAACAGUUAUUGAUAAUUUUGAAACGUCAUAUCCUAUAGAAUGGAUUUCACAAAGUUCAUUUGUUGGAUAAGAUCAGACAUAACCCACCAGCGGAUUUUGAUCUAGGAAAAAUAGCUUUAUGUGUUCCUUAAGUUUCUCUCCCUGUCCUGGAAGGGGUAGGUCUUGUGUUGAAAUUGUUGUAGAAUUAUGAAAUUUGGAAAACAAAAAUGUUACGUUUCUUAACCACACUUAGUCUGACAUUUAGCUGAUGAUUUGGGUCAAGAUAUAUGUGGGCUAAAUUUUACUUUUCAUGUUGAUAUUCUUUUUUAUUUAUUUAUUUAUU